GUGUGUGGCACUAAUGGGACCAAGUCAUUCAUUCUGUUCCAGUGGGCUGGCACACUGAGUUCUUCUACUCUGCUGAGAUGGCCCAGUCUUGGUCAACCUGGUAUGAGGCUGCUUGGCCAUUAGCAAAAGGGAAGGACAGAGGACACAGCGCAACCUAACAGUGCUUUGAAAGAACAACUAAGUGGACGCCUUCAACUGAAUGUGGGUUCAAAACAAAUCUGUCUUUUUCCUACUGGGAUAUGAUUGGAUAAAAAAAAAAUUGUAACAGAGACCAUGCCAAAAAUGUCAUUCAAAAACCAGCCUCAUUUAAUGAGGUACAAGAAGCUCACUAUUACGAAACAAAGACUACACUUCAAUAUGUGGAAACAGUGCCUACAAAAUCCUCCCAGAAAACUGACCUUGUACCUGCUCUGUGGCGAGGGAAGUCUCAGCCUUGCAGGUAAUACAGAAUGCUGCUUCCUGCAGCCCAGGAUACCGGCAGACUUGGAGUCUCAGAGAAAGGAGAACACCCCAGCUAUACAGCUACUGCAGGUAAAGCUUGGAAGAGGCAAACUGGAUGCCUUUUGUUCCUGGGCAUAGAAAGUCCAGGUGGAUGACAGCGAUUUAAAUACUCCUGAAACGCUGGUGUGAUCAAAGAAUGCUAGGGGCUUUAUGAAGCCUCCAGACAGAUGCUAAGUCUUCAAGCAUUAGUAUCACAUGAUGUUCGUUUUUUUUUUUUAAACCACACAAUGAAGAAAUCUUUGCAUAUUCCUCAACACCUCCUGGGGCUCCUGUGUAAGUUAAAACUAGCCAAAUAGGAAAAACCCACCAUGUUAAUGAUAUGAAUUAGAAAAUUGUUCAACAAACCUGUAUGGUCAAGUCUGUCUUCAGGGGCAGGAACUGGCAAAGCAAGCAGGAAUGAUACUUGCCCUGCUGCCCUCUUGGUUAGCACAUCAGGUACCACUGUCACAACCACCCCCACCCCCAACCCCAAACAAACAAAAAAGAAACACUGGACAUUUGGCAUCCCUGAAUAAACUAAAAAUAAAAGGCAGGCACAUUCUGUAUAACACCAGCCUCUGAAUGAAGACUCGCGCCCUCCGGGUAAGAUGCUAACAACCUAAUAAAAACCGCCCUAUUCCUGA